rnacentral:snRNA from 1 species
CUGCUUCAGCAGCACAUAUACUAAAAUUGGAACGAUACAGAGAUUAGCAUGGCCCCUGCACAAGGAUGACAAGCAAAUUCAUGAAGUGCUCCAUAUUUAA